rnacentral:rRNA from 1 species
AACGAACGCUGGCGGCAUGCCUAACACAUGCAAGUCGAACGAGACCUUCGGGUCUCGUGGCGCACGGGUGCGUAACGCGUGGGAACCUGCCCUUAGGUUCGGAAUAACUCCCCGAAAGGGGUGCUAAUACCGGAUAAUUUCUUCGGACCAAAGAUUUAUCGCCUUUGGAUGGGCCCGCGUUGGAUUAGCUAGUUGGUAGGGUAAAAGCCUACCAAGGCGACGAUCCAUAGCUGGUCUGAGAGGAUGAUCAGCCACACUGGGACUGAGACACGGCCCAGACUCCUACGGGAGGCAGCAGUGGGGAAUAUUGGACAAUGGGCGAAAGCCUGAUCCAGCAAUGCCGCGUGAGUGAUGAAGGCCUUAGGGUUGUAAAGCUCUUUUACCCGGGAUGAUAAUGACAGUACCGGGAGAAUAAGCUCCGGCUAACUCCGUG